rnacentral:rRNA from 1 species
AACAGGAUUAGAUACCCUGGUAGUCCAUGCCGUAAACGAUGUCUACUAGCCGUUGGGGCCUUUGAGGCUUUAGUGGCGCAGCUAACGCGAUAAGUAGACCGCCUGGGGAGUACGGUCGCAAGACUAAAACUCAAAUGAAUUGACGGGGGCCCGCACAAGCGGUGGAGCAUGUGGUUUAAUUCGAUGCAACGCGAAGAACCUUACCUGGCCUUGACAUACUAAGAACUUUCCAGAGAUGGAUUGGUGCCUUCGGGAACUUAGAUACAGGUGCUGCAUGGCUGUCGUCAGCUCGUGUCGUGAGAUGUUGGGUUAAGUCCCGCAACGAGCGCAACCCUUUUCCUUAUUUGCCAGCGGGUUAAGCCGGGAACUUUAAGGAUACUGCCAGUGACAAACUGGAGGAAGGCGGGGACGACGUCGAGUCAUCAUGGCCCUUACGGCCAGGGCUACACACGUGCUACAAUGGUCGGUACAAAGGGUUGCUACCUCGCGAGAGGAUGCUAAUCUCAAAAAGCCGAUCGUAGCCCGGAUCGCAGUCUGCAACUCGACUGCGUGAAGUCGGAAUCGCUAGUAAUCGCGGAUCAGAAUGCCGCGGUGAAUACGUUCCCGGGCCUUGUACACACCGCCCGUCACACCAUGGGAGUUUGUUGCACCAGAAGUAGGUAGUCUAACCGUAAGGAGGACGCUUACCACGGUGUGGCCGAUGACUGGGGGUGAAGUCGUAACAAGGUAACC